GCAGUCGAGGCUGGGCACGCUCAGAGGGAGCGCAGUCCCUCCCCUUUCCGCCUCUCCCCCUAUCCCCCACCCCUUUGCUUCAGAGCUUGAUGCAGAGCUAGACCUCUGCAAAACUGUAAAGCGGAAGAAAUUUGGGUCCGCCCAUCGGCUCCUGCUGCACUGCGUCCACCCUCUUCUCUCCAAUUUCAUUUCUCUAUGUCUCUGUCUAUCCUUGCCUUUCCCUUCCGGUUUUCCUCGCCCUCUCCCUGACUCCCCCCUUCCCCGCUCACGCACUCAUACGAGGACACACACUGUGUGAAAGAUGCACUGUAGCAUCUCAUGACUUAAAGGUCAUCCAGCCCCAUCCUCCCACUGCUGCUUGAACAAUAUGCUUAACACGUAGUGCUGCAGUCCAUGCUGGGGAAAACUCAGACCUCCCUGAACUGCUUGAUACUUUUCCUGAAGAACAGAACAAGACCAGAAGGAGUGAAUGCUUGCUAUUCUUUGUGUCCUGUUCUUCAAUUCUUUGCUGAGUGGAGACAACGAACCCAAGACCCCUAGACGGUAACAAACGCGGGGGCUCAUCCGGGAUCAGGACCACCGACUCAAAGACAUACAGAUAAAGCUCCAAAAACUGGCUGUGGAACAGGGAACAACAUUGGACCAGUUGGUCCAGGAUGCUACAGCAGUCUUCUAUAAUCAGGACCUAGAAAAGGAAAAAGAAAGGACGAAUAACAUGGAGAAUUGAUGGCAGCCAUGCAAGCAGGUCCCAGCAGUACUCCUCCACCUCCUGCUUCUCAUGCAGGAAAGAAGGCUGUUUUAAAAAGUAUUGUCCCCAGAGGAGUCAACCACCUAUUGGAUUGCCUCCUGGAUCUUGUCCUCUGUGUCAAGGAACCAUCAGAAGGUGAGAUGUCCUUGGAACCUGAGGGGAUCAAGGUUGUCACAUACAGUUCCCAAUGACAGGUCCAGGGGCUUUCUUUAUGGCUCCUAUGACUGAAGUCCAGUUUCAGGAGCCCCAGAUAAACUUUUUGUAGACAGGCACCAUAUAAACUUCCUUCCUGAUAUGGGAACACGAUUCUUAGACCUGUCCUUCUCUCCAGGACCUCAGUCCCAAGACAAGUAACCAUUUGGGGCAUAUAGGGCUAGGCCCUUGAGAGAUAUUUUACUAGUUCUCUUGCUUAUAAAUGGGGUGUUUUCCACUUCUGACACUCCUUUUUCAUCAUGCCAGAGACCUCAACCCCUAUAUUAGAAAGAGACCUAUUAAUCUCAAUUAAGGGUCAAGUUGUUACCAUCUGGGGCAUAUAAUUAUCUACCUUUAAUAAAGACAAAGUGGACCCCACAAUUUGGUCAGAUAUCAACUCAAUAGAAAGACUAAAACCCUUGUCAAAAUUCAUUUUAAAAAUCCUUCCUACUUUCCUUGCCAAAGACAGUACUCCUUACAUUCUGAGAUUAAGGAGGGACUUAUACCUAUUAUGUUGAAUUUUAAAUGAGAAGGAGUUUUGGUAGAAAAGUCCUCAUAAUACUCCUAUAUUGGAGUCUCACAAAGAGUUCCAAUAAAUAGAGAACAUUUAAGCAUCUUCAUUUAGUCAAGGAGACAGUGGUCCUUCUAUACCCACUGAUUACAAAUCCAUACACUCUCCUUAACCAGAUUCCCCAGGGAACUACAUAUUAUACUGUCCUAGACUUAAAAGAUGCAUUUUUCUGAAUUUUUCUACAUUCAAAGAGUCAGUCUCUAUUCCCCUUUGAGGAUCCUACCCAUAAAGCUGGACAGUUAUUUGGACAGUUCUUCCCCAAGAAUUCAGAGGAAGCCCCCAUCUGUCUGGACAAGUAUUGGCACAGGACCUCAUGGAUUUUUUUAUACCCUGAAACAGUGUUACUGUAAUAUGUAGAUGACCUUCUCUUAUGUGGACCUUUAGAAAGUGACUUCUGAAGGGGCAAGCUCUCUUCUCAAUUUCCUGGCCAAUUUCCUUAGAAAAUGCUCAAUUGUGCCUGCCUGGGUUACAUACUUGGGCGUUAUACUGGAAGGUGACAAUUGAAAGCUUGGCCCAAAAAGAAUUCAAACCAUACUGUAAUAUCCCCUUACUCAGAGAGUGAAACAACUCAUGGCCUUUCUGAGAACAACUAAUAUUAUAAAAUUUGGAAUAUGUGCAGAAAGCAAGACCCCUUUAUCAGUGCCUCAAAAAGGCACAGGGAAACUCACAUGCCAUCAUUAACUCAACUCCAGAGAUUUUUUAAAAAGGCCUUCAAUACAUUAAAAACAGCUCUUACCCAGGCACCUACCUUGACUUUACCCACUCAAACAACCUUUCAAGUAUAUGUUACAGUCAUUUGGGGCCCCCUCCCCAUCCAGUGAGUUAUCUAAAUAAAGAAUUGGACAAGGUGGCCAAGGGGUGGCCUGGAUGUCUUAGAGCUGUGGCUGCAGUGGGACUCUUAAUCCCUAAGGUAUAUAAACUUAUUCUGGGAAGGCCCCUGACAAUAUUUACCUCCCAUGAUAUAGGAGGAAUUCUAAAUUCUAAAUGUAGUCUUAGGAUAACAGAUAGCCAACAGAUAGCCAUAUACUUAAAUAUUUGGCCCUUUUUGUUAGAAGAAUCCAAAAUUACCUGAAAACUUAUCAAAACCUCAAUCUUUCUUACCUGAGAUAGAGGAAAAAACCCUUUCCAUUCUUGUGAAGAAGUUUUAAUGAAAAAUUAUGCCAUCAGACUGGAUAUAUCUGAUCAUCCUAUUGAUAACCCUGACCUUACACUAUCUACAUGAAGUUCAUUGGUGUUUAAUGGAAUUGGAGAUCCAGAUAUGUGGUGGUAACAGAUUUGGGGGUACUUAAAUCAGGGCCACUUCCCACCAAUACCAAUGCCAAACUGGUGGAACUAGUUCUCUCACCCAAGCACUGGAACAUUCCAAGGAUAAAAGGGUCAAUAUACAUACUGAUUCCAAAUGUGUUUUUCUUAUACUUCACACCCAUGCAACUAUCUGGAAAAAGAAAGGAUUAUUCACUACUGCUGGCACUCAUGUUGGUGUCAAGGAGAUUCUUUGUCUCCUAGAGGCAAUUUUCCUGCCCUCUCAGGUGGCAGUUAUUUAUGUCCCUGGUCAUCAAAAAGAGGAAGACACAAUAGUUAAAGGAAAUAGGGUUGUGAAUAUAGCAGCCAAGGCUGCCACUUUACAGAGUUCCACAUUUGCCCUGUUCCUAUAGGAAAACUUCUUUUUGCCCCCUGAAUACCCUCAAUAAUUGGCAGAGGAGGCUCAACAGGCUGUAACUCAAGAAUACCAGUUAGAUCAUAGAGCAUAGUGGGUUUCUCCUGAGGGAAUCCCAUAACUUCCUCAAACAUCUCAAUCAAAGAUUUUAAAGUCUUUCUAUAACCUCUACCAUUUGGGAAGAGAUAAUACUCUUAUUAUACAUUUGGGGUAUUAUAUUAUAAUACCCCAAAAAAUGUUUUCAGGAAAGGGCUUCAAAGUCACAGUCCAACAGAUCAUUCAGAGUUGUGAAAUCUGUCAGUGGGUUGAUUCUUUCAAUAAAUAUUUCUGCCCUCCUGGAGAUGAUGGGUCUGAUUGACCCAUCAGAUUGACAAUUAGAUUUUAACCAUAUGCCUGGGGGAACAAAUUAAAAUAUUUACUGGUUCUGGUAGAUACAUUCACUGGAUGGGUAAAAGCCUUUCCUUGUAAAUCUGAAAAGGUUAUAUAAGUUGUAAAGGUCUUAUUUCAAAAAGUUAUUCCUUAAUUCUGUCUCCCUCAGAGUCUUCAGAGUGAUAAUGGACCCACCUUUAAGACAAAAAUAAUGCAAAAAUUCUCUCAAGCAUUAGGAAUAAAAUCUUACCUUCAUUGCUCAUGGAGAUCUCAGUCUUUAGACAAAGUCAAAAAAGACUAAUAAAUGUCUGAAGAGACACUUAAUCAAACUCCUCUGGGAAACCCAGAUCCCAUGUAUUAAGUUGUUGCCAUUGGCUCUAAUAGGGCUAAAAAAUACCCCUGGCUGACAGGGUCUAACUCCAUUUGAGUCCCUAUAUGGAAGGCCAUUUUUGUCCAGUAAUUUACUUUUGGAUUCUGAGACCCCACAAUUAGUAUCUCAUGUAACUCAGUUGGUCAAGUUUCAACAGAUUCUUACAAAAAUUUGACAAGAACUUCUUGAGAGAGGUCAUCAAGGGCCCCCCCUCUUCUGAAAUCUUGUUCUAAUAAAAACUACAGAUUUAAACAAGUGGUUACAUACUCUAAACUGGGAGGGAUUUUACCCUGUAAUCAUGUCCACCCCUUUAGCAGCUUAUAUGGCAGGACAAGACUACUAGAUACAUCAUAACUAUCUUAAAGAAUGGAGACCCCCUCUUGAGUCCACCCACCACAAUGGAGAUUCCUACAGACCACUACACCUGUGAGACAACGAAGAUCUCAAUUUCCUGUGUUAAUGAGCUAAGUGAUAUAAUUGUUAUUCGUCUCUUUGUUGCAAUACCGCUGGCUUUGCUACUUACUAUAGGACUAGCAGUAAUGGCUCCAGAAGAUUGUAACACUACAUGUAGGCUAUCUUUGGCAUUAACUUAUUUUAAAUAAUCUUGCUUUGCAUAUUGAAGCUUUUGCCUAUGCUCUCUUAAACAUGGCUAAGCCCUUAUUACUCUUAUAACCCUUGGUUGUUAUAACAAUCACCAUCUCCUUUACCAGCCAAGGUACAGGUUUUACAUUGGGUCCUUGGGGAGAUAAUUCAUUAGUUAAUUUUUUACAGACUAUCAGUAUUGGAAAUGGACUUUCCAAUUGUUGGAUUUGCCACCCACUUCACACAUCUAUUAGAGUCAUGUGCCUGUGUGUGUUAGGAAUUUAACCCUUACCCUUACUUCAGAAUGAACCAAGAUGAAACCUUUAUAAAUAUCUUUCCAGAUAUUAUACUGUUUUCUGUGUGCUGAGCUUACACCCUGCUUUUACCACUCUAAUAAGAUGGAAGUACUUUAUGCUCUAUACUAUCAAUCCAACAGGUCAUGUUGUCCCUGCUGGGAACUAUGUUCUACUCAAUACAGUGCUCAAAGCCAAUAUUUCCCAAAUUAUUCCCCUUUAUAUGAUAACUACUCUCCUAACUUGACCCAUUGGUACCCCAGUGCUUACACCUACCUAAACAGAAACUGGCACCCCUAUGUGGAUGACUGUUCUAUAUGUUAGGGACAGAUCUCUGUCACUUGGCAGGUGGCUUUCAGCCAUACACCUAAAGCCAUACACCAUGAUGUCAUUAACCCUGCCUGUGCCUCCUGAAGCUCUGUCUAGCUCAUGUAUAGAUUCUUCUCUGUGGGUCCUCAAAAUCCUUCUUGGUUAAAUCACUCAGCCAUCCACAGGCAUGUGCCCCUCCAGGAUACACAUUUAUAUAUGGCCCCAACAACUACCUGUUACCCUUUGAGGGUAAUCCUGUUCCCCAGCUUACAAACCAAGUUAUCACCUAUCCUUGUAUUGAUAAUGUCCAAUUUAUGGGCCCUUGUGCCGGUAUGCUUGAACAGCAGGGGAUAGGAGUUAACAUACAUAAUAUCACACAGUCAAGAUCCAGGAGAGCACUAGGAUUAAUGAGCAGCUAUGGACCUUGUGGUGCCAUGGGCUAGAUUUAGUUACCAUGAAGUCAUUCUCAAAAAUCCCACUAAUACCCUAGAAAUAUUUGCAGAAAGCACAGACUAGGCUCUUUAAGGAUUAUAAGGAUCCUUAGACUCUCUUGCUAAUGUGAUCCUGACAAUCAUCUGGCUUUGGACUACUUAUUGGCCAGUGAAGGAGGAGUCUGUAUGGUAAUCAACAAAAUCUGUUACACAAACAUCAUUAAUACAGAAACAGUAAAAAUCAAUAUAAAAAUUUAAAAACAGGCACCAUGGCUUCAUAGAUAUAACCAGGUAAUUGAACCAAAUACAAUUUGAGCCACAGUCAGGACAGCUAUCCCUUCAUUAACUUUGUUUUUCCCUUAAUUGGGCCCCCUAUUAAUUUUCAUUAAAAAUCUAAUCUUUGCACCUUGUAUUCUCAAUACAUUAACUUGCCUUAUCCAUUCCAGGCUGAAAGCCAUUAAGAUGCAGAUGGCUGUACAGAUGGAAACCUGCAUAAAUGUACCUGCCAGUUUUUACUGAGGGCCUUUGGACUAUCCUGACGACACCUCUUCGUCUUAAACUCUCCUCGGGAGGACACUCAGACUCAAUCUUCACUACGCCCCUUUUCAGCUUGAAGUAGCCAGAGCGGUCAUCAUCCCAACUCCCUACAAUAGUCAGGGUGUCCUCUGAGGGGGGAUUGAGGGAGAUUCAGAAAUGCAUAGGUAGUCAGGGCAAGAUGGCAAAUGAGGAAGUCAUGGGCAGGCCCAGACAGUAUGAGCACAAAGAGGGUCCUCCAGUAAGGAAAACUUGCCAGUUGAAAAAGUGCUCAUGAACACGAGCAAGGAAUCCAAUCAGGCAGACAUUUCUGUGCUUGUGUACACAAGUACGAGAUCCAAUAAAAAGACUAAGAUAGAUGCAUGGACAUCAGGAGUAUCAAUGAUAGGAGAAUGGAAAGGAGAGAAGAUUUUAAAAAAAGGAAUGGGAGGAAUAUCCAAAGAACAAGUCAGUACUUCCUUAUGGAACUCCCAACUCCUGGGCCCCUUCACUUAAGAGAAGUCUGUUACUUUGUUUCUUUUGCUCUUGCAAUAAAUCCUUUAGCUUGCUAUUCUUUGUGUCCUGUUCUUCAAUUCUUUGCUGAGCAGAGACAAUGAACCCAAGAUCCCUAAACAGUAACACAGAGAGAUUAGUUUCUUAAUCAUAAAGAAGGAAUAAGGAAUAGGGCAAUGUUUAUAACAAAAUAUGAAGAAAACCAUAAGUAGCCAAAAUUUACAGGAUUCAUGAACUUGACCAAUUUCAAACUCUUCUCAAUCAUCAAGCAAACAUCAUAAAAUACUUUCAUCAUGUUCAUAUGGUCCAGGACAUGGCAGAGACAUUUGAUGGGCAUCCUCUAGAGGACUCAGAGAAACUAGACUCAUAUAUCCAACUAGCUACUGGACAUAAACACUUGAUGUUUCAUUAUACCCAAAAUGUAAUAUUUGCACAAGGCAAUUUUAAUCAUAAUAAUACCAUGGGACAGUCUU